UGGAAUAGCUCAGCUGGUAGAGCAUGAGGCUCUUAAUCUCAGAGCAGUGGGUUUGAGCCCCACAUUGGGAAAAA
rnacentral:tRNA from 1 species